UACGGAGGGAGCUAGCGUUGUUCGGAAUUACUGGGCGUAAAGCGCACGUAGGCGGCUUUGCAAGUUAGAGGUGAAAGCCUGGGGCUCAACUCCAGAACUGCCUUUAAAACUGCAUCGCUUGAAUCCAGGAGAGGUGAGUGGAAUUCCGAGUGUAGAGGUGAAAUUCGUAGAUAUUCGGAAGAACACCAGUGGCGAAGCGGCUCACUGGACUGGUAUUGACGCUGAGGUGCGAAAGCGUGGGGAGCAAACAGG
rnacentral:rRNA from 1 species